rnacentral:lncRNA from 1 species
GUUUUCUGUAAAUGUCAGUAGUAGUUAAAUCAAUAGAGGUUGAAAGACAAUACAAAAUAUUUCCUAGAGUCAAGAAAGACAUGAAUUUCAGAAGAAUAAAACAAAAGAGUCCUAGCUUACAUUACAAUUUUUCUCCAAUUAUCAGAGCCUAUUAUAUUCCAUCUUUAUUUUUUAGUUUUUUAUAUUAGGCAUUGAACCCAGCAGUGUUUUACCACCGAGCUACAUCCCCAGCCUCUUUUUAAAAAAAAUUUUUUAGUUGUAGAUGGACACAAUAUCUUUAUUUUAUUUUUUCUGUAGUGCUGAGGAUCAAACCCAGGGCCUCACACUGCCAGGGGAGCGCCCUACCACUGAGCCCCCAGCCUCUUAAAAAAUAAAUUAAAAAAAAAAAAAUUGUAACAGGGUCUCAUUAAGUUGCUGAGGCCUUGAACUUAUGAUCCUUCUGCUUCAGCCUCCUCAGCCGCUGGAAUUAUAGGUGUGUACUACUACACCUGGCUUCAUCUUUAUUUUUAUUUCUCUUGUAGUGCCAGGGAUCUAAUCAAAGUCCUGUGUGUGCAGAAGCUCUACCACUGAGCUACAUGCCCAGACUUUUUUAUAUAUUUAUCUUUUUGAGACAGUAUUGCUAAGUUACCCAGCCUGACCUGAAACUUGGGUUCAAAUACCAUCAUUAAUUGUAUACAAAAUAAUUUCCUACAUGAAUGUUUUAGAGUGAACUGAAGACUUCAUUUUCUGAAAAAAAAAAAAAAAAAUCCGGAUAUUUUUAGGUUUUCUUGCUGAGUUGGCAAAUGUACAUUACAGUUUUCUUUCCAUGAAUACUAGGUUUGAGUGAUUUUGCUGGAUUCUUCAAACACUGGCUUUGUAUCAUUUAAAAUAUCAAUGGAGGAAGAGAGAUGUAGCUCAGUCAGAGUGUGUACCUUGCACGGGCAAGGCCCUGGGUUCCAUCCCUAGCAUCACACACAUGAAAAAAAUCAGCGGUGACCUUCAGAACUAUGAGUUAAAUAAAACCUCUUUUCUUUAUAUAGUUAAUUAGAUUAUCAGUGGUUGUUCAAAGCUACUUGUUGACUCAGAGGCAGAUGCCCAAGGCCAGUGACACUGAGUUAAGGCUACCUUUGAGCCUGCAGAGGGAAGUAAUGGAAGAUCAAACUGGUUCUUUCUGGGGAUUGUCCCCUGGCAGGUGUCCUGCCUGCUCACACCCACCUAGGAAAGAGCUCUUUGUAUUAAGUAAAGAUGCAAAGCACUGGAAAACUGGGCAUCCACAUGCAUGAUGGGUUACAGAGGCUCAUUCUUGGGUCUUUGUAUAGACCCUUUUGAAUUUUGUAUCCAGAAAUUUGUUGCACAUAGUGUUUUAAUUGUGCGUACUGGGAAAAUCAGUGAAGAUCAGGGUUUCUAUGUUUUGGAAAAACUGUUAAUAAAUUUGGGAAUUUAUUUGAUUCAAACCCUAAACUGAAUCCAACUGAGAGUUUCCUCACUUAUGAGAACAGGUAUAUGUGGGGUGGGAGGUAUUUCCUUGCCAUCUAGGAAGAGGACUCCAUUCCUGUGGCUGCCCAGGUACCCUGCCCUCCAUCUCCAGGGAUUGACCUAUGCUAGGAGUUAUAUUUAAAUUAUGAAAGCCCACCCCCAGACUUGGGAAUAUUUUAACCCACAGUAUGUGAUUUUUCCUUAUGAAUGAUGGGGAAACAGUUUGUUUAUCUGAACAGAUUCAGUGUUGCAUUUAUUUGUUUAUUUUGAUUCCUUCAUUGGAUAUUGCUUUCUUUUAACAUAGUUUCUUUAAACUUUGUAAUUUUAUUCCUUCUGUUAUGUGUAAAUUUUAGUUUCUUGUUUGAAUCUGUAGAUUGAGAGACAUGUUAGUCAAGAAAAUUCUGGAACAGCACAAUUUUUGUCACUUUUAGGCAUGAGAGAGACAGUGAUGGGAGGAUGUAUUUUAAGUUCUCAGGUGAAUUUUUCUUUCUUCAGAUCAGUUUUUGGGGCCGAGGAUAUGGCUCAAUGGUAGAGCACUUGCCUAGCACAUUCAGGGCCCUGGAUCUGAUCUCCAGCAACACACACAAAAUCUAAUUUAAUGAAGGUCAAACUGCUAAUAAAUUGUAAUAUUCAUUCCUAAGCUGUACCCCACAGUGUCGUAUUUAGCGGAGCAACAGGUGUGAUCCCACUUGCCACAUAGUUCAAGAUUCCAAAAGUUCACUUAUGAAUUUAUUUCUCACAUUUCCACCAUGAUAUGUAAGAAACGAGAUCUUAUAAUGGUUACCUAUAUAGGAACAUCCAAAUUAAUUAAAUGUAAGUUCUACCACUGAGCUACAGCCCCAGCCCCCUUUUAUUUAUUUAUUUUUUUUAAAAAGAAAAAAAAGGAUUUUAUUCAAAAUUUAUUUUUUUUAUUGGUUGUUCAAAACAUUACAAAGCUCUUGACAUAUCAUAUUUAUUUAUUUAUUUUUUAAUUUUUAAAAAUACCUUAUUUUAUUUAUUUUUAUGUGGUGCUGAGGAUCGAACUCAGGGCCCCUCGUGCAUCCAUGCGAGC